rnacentral:lncRNA from 1 species
UUUACAACAAAAAUUUGUAAUUAUUUAAACACUAGCAAAUUAUUUAAUAUAAAUAUUUAUUACUAAGCAUAUCAAGAUUUAAGAUUCAAGAAGCCCAAAUAAAAGAUGAAGAAGAAAGAGAUUUAGCCUUUUCCAUAGCCCAAAUCGGAGGCCCAUACCCACCAGCCCACCUACUCUACUUCUUUUCCAUGUCAGCUCCAUAUAAGCCUCAUGUCAGCGCCACAUAGGCCCCAAUGGUCUAAAACACACGCCAACUAGCACACCCUUCACUCACACUCUGACCCCACAUCUUCUAGAGAAUUCUAUGUAUUUUUCUUUAUUUUUAUCUUGUUUUAUUCUAAGCCUAAUUUGAGCCAUCCAUUAUUUUAAUCCAAUGACCAAUAUUUAUCCCAUCAAUUAAAUCCAAUUUGCUAACCCUGUUCUCUCUCUCCUAAACCAAUAGACGCUUCUUCUCCUCCCUUUCCUCUUCUUCACAAAAUUCCAUCCUUGCUCAGCCAUGGCAGAACUUGCCAUUACCAUUUUUGAACAAGAAGUUCUGCACCUCAUUUAAUUUUCUUCAACAUCAAUGUUCAAAUUUCAAACAUUCAAUAGCUUUCACUCAAUUUCGAAAUCCCGCCCAUAUCAAGAACCCUAGAAAUCAGCCUAUAAAUACCCGCCUUUGAAAAGAUUUUCGACCAAGUUCAACCCCCUCCUUUAACCUUAUGUUUUGGACCCCCCUAAGAAUCCUUAAGCUUCAGCCCCUCCUUUAACCUUAAGCUCAGAGCCGCCCACUUUCACCCCCAAAGUUGAAAGCUUCAGCCGCACCUCUCCCUUAAAAAUCCUUAAGCUUCGGCCGCCAUUCAGAAGCUUAUACUUUUACUACUCUAAAAAUAUUUUUCUAAAACCUAGUGUUAUCAUUUUGCGACCUUUUAGCUUCUAUUUAGUUCUCUUUUAAUCAUAACAUAUCCAUUAAUUUGCUCGCUUCAACAUUUAUUAGUUGUUUGUAGAAGCGGGUUCGAGGUCGGAGCUCAAUAGUGCAUCUAAGAUCCGCACCUCAGUUCACUGCCCUGCAAAAGGUCGGUAUCUUUCUUCUUGUUUCGCUUCUGGAAUUUUAGUGUUUUAAUGUUUCAGUAUCUAGUUGGCAAUGAGCUCUUAAUUUAUUUAUUUUUUGAUUAAUUAUCUGGGAUGUUUCUUGUCGAUUUCUGAUUAGUUAAUAUGGAUGAAAGGCUCGUAUGCUCUGUUGUAAAAGAAAUACUAACUUUUAUAGGUUAACUGAUGUAUAUUUCCUUAUUAUAAGGUUACCCGGCCUUAGAUUUUGUUUGAAACUUAGAGACCAUGCUUAUAAAAUUUAAUUAGCUCUGAGCUAGUCGCAAUCAGUCCCUUUUAGUUACUGUCGAAAGCAAAUAAUACAAUACAAGCCAAGUAAUCCUCUCUUAUUGUUACACUAGGCUGAAGGCUUAUUUAUAGUGUUUGCACCUGUUAGUGACCUGUUAUGACUGGAGAAUUUCAUGUGUUUUAACGGAACUGAUUUUCGAGAUCCUUUCUUAAGAUGGUGUCAUUGAAGUAUAGAAAAUGUGGCUAUAAGUUAGUUUGGUUUACCGGACAAAAUAUCUACUAUAGAUUUUGACAUAAGGUUCUCUUCAUGUUAUAACUUAAUAAAGAUCUAAGCUAAAUGACCAUUAAACAAUAGUAGUGUUUAGUCUCGUUGAAAUCUCGCCAUAUAGACUUAUCUAGGGAUCGCAUUUGCUGUUAUUGUUUGGCCUAAACAUAUGAACAUUUAUCCCCUUUCAUGUUUGUACCUGAAACACCAACUUGUGAAGCCUUCAUGGAUCUUUUAUAGUUUGUUUGUUAAGAUCCUUAAUUAAAAACUCAUGCUUAUGUGGUGUGCUUGUUUGUAAAAUACAAGAAGCUCUUCACUGUUUCUCAUAACUGAUCCAUGUAAGCAACCUCCACUUCCAAUCAAGAGGUUGUGAGUUCGAGUCUCCCCAAGAGCAAGGUGAGAAGUUCUUGGAUGGAAAGAUGUCGGGGGUCUAUUAGGAAAUAGCCUCUCUACUCCAGGAUAGGGGUAAGGUUUGAGUACACACUACCCUCCCCAGACCCCACUAAGUGAGAUUAUAUUGGGUUGUUGUUGUUGUUGUUGAUCCACGUGUGUGUCCUCCUAUUCGUAGCAUUGAUGUUGUCUUUAUUACAUGUAGUAUGAUUGUCUAAUUAUGAUGUAGAUGAAACCCGUUAGCAUGUGUUUAUUAAAUAACCUUGUAAUUUUUUGCUGUCGUAAUCUCUUAUACCUUUAAGAAUUAAGUUUAAGUGUUGUUAAUGGCUUAAAGAAGUGUAAAUCCCACUUUGUUUGUUAGGUUGAUCUAAAAGGGAAAAACUUCAAAAAGGCACUUAGAGCGCUAUUUUAAAAUGGAAUUGCUUAUAUGUAGCAUACUACUGUUUGUUUCGUUCUAUUUCGUGGAAUAUUUCAGAUUUGAGGAGAUAAUUGUCAUUCUUGACUUGUAUGUUUUAUCGUCACAUAUAAUAAAAAUUAAGUUUUUCUCUAAUUCUCUUUUCUUCUUCUUUCCUUUUGCAUAUAUACGUGGAGCAAAAAAUGGAGUCUCACUCGAGACUCAGCACUACCCGAGCAUGGAGUCAUCAUAUCGCAUAUUCCUAUAAAUGCACCGGAUAGGGAAAAAACAAGCGAAAGCGUUCUUUUUUUUGUGUUAUCAUUCAUUUUAUCUAUCUUCUUUUUAUGGUUUAUUUAUUUGUGUGUUUGGGAUUUGUCUUACACUUAGCAUAAGAUUAACAGUGAAGUCUAUUUAAUCAUCCAGGAUCCUGGUCUUAUUAUUAAUAAACCUUUUUUUCAUCA